GGUAAGACAUAUUGUGUAUCAAUUAUGAAUGUUUAUUUGCCCACCUAAUUGAAAAUAAUUGUACUUUUUACUUUGUUUAAUUGUACUUUGCUUUGCUUAUUUGUUAGUGAUCAGAAUUAUUUUUUGGGUUAGUGUAACAUUAAAUAAUUUAAUAGUUAUUCAAAGUCGAACAGUUGAAAUAUCAAGUAGAUUCACAUAUGCAGGGCAUACGUUAAAAUAGUGUUUUGCAGAAGUAUCCGGUUAGUAAUGUGAAUUAAAGGACAUGACUAUAUGAUGAAUACCAGCAGUGAUGAAACCUAAGAGUAGCAACAAACAUAAAUUUGAAAGGCAGCCAGAGUAAACACGCCAGCACCUACUCACACAUGGAUUGAAAGGGUCGUUCCUAAAAGAAAUGGAAUGCUAUUGGAGGGUAAUCUCUGGGGCUGAAGAGGACACUGGACAAUGAGGAUCGCCGUCGCAGCCACUCUAAUAUAGCCAAGGAUUUUGAG